rnacentral:rRNA from 1 species
GAUNAACGCUGGCGGUAUGCCUUAUACAUGCAAGUCGUACGGGAGUUUUUAACUCAAGUGGCGGACGGGUGAGUAACACGUAAGAAUUUGCCUUUAGGAGGGGGAUAACAACUGGAAACGGUUGCUAAUACCCCAUAUGCUUUCGAGUGAAAUGGAUUUCCGCCUAAAGAGAAGCUUGCGGCUGAUUAGCUUGUUGGUGAGGUAAUGGCUCACCAAGGCGACGAUCAGUAUCUGUUUGAGAGGACGAUCAGACACACUGGAACUGAGACACGGUCCAGACUCCUACGGGAGGCAGCAGUAGGGAAUUUUCCGCAAUGGGCGAAAGCCUGACGGAGCAAUACCGCGUGAGGGAUGACUGCCUAUGGGUUGUAAACCUCUUUUUUCAGGGAGGAACACAAUGACGUGUACCUGAAGAAUAAGCAUCGGCUAACUCCGUGCC